rnacentral:rRNA from 1 species
UGGGGAAUUUUGGACAAUGGGCGCAAGCCUGAUCCAGCAAUGCCGCGUGCAGGAUGAAGGCCUUCGGGUUGUAAACUGCUUUUGUACGGAACGAAAAGCCUCUCUCUAAUACAGGGGGGUGAUGACGGUACCGUAAGAAUAAGCACCGGCUAACUACGUGCCAGCAGCCGCGGUAAUACGUAGGGUGCAAGCGUUAAUCGGAAUUACUGGGCGUAAAGCGUGCGCAGGCGGUUUUGUAAGACAGUGGUGAAAUCCCCGGGCUCAACCUGGGAACUGCCAUUGUGACUGCAAGGCUGGAGUGCGGCAGAGGGGGGAUGGAAUUCCGCGUGUAGCAGUGAAAUGCGUAGAUAUGCGGAGGAACACCGAUGGCGAAGGCAAUCCCCUGGGCCUGCACUGACGCUCAUGCACGAAAGCGUGGGGAGCAAACAGGAUUAGAUACCCUGGUAGUCCACGCCCUAAACGAUG